rnacentral:misc_RNA from 1 species
GAUGAAGAACGUAGUGAAAUGCGAUAAGUAAUGUGAAUUGCAGAAUUCAGUGAAUCAUCGAAUCUUUGAACGCACAUUGCGCCCCCUGGUAUUCCGGGGGGCAUGCCUGUCCGAGCGUCAUUACAACCCUCAAGCUCAGCUUGGUGUUGGGCCCCGCCGCCCCGGCGGGCCCUAAAGUCAGUGGCGGUGCCGUCCGGCUCCGAGCGUAGUAAUUCUUCUCGCUCUGGGGGUCCGGUCGUGUGCUCGCCAGCAACCCCCAAUUUUUUUCAGGUUGACCUCGGAUCAGGUAGGGAUACCCGCUGAACUUAAGCAUAUCAAUAAGCGGAGGA